rnacentral:rRNA from 1 species
CGCGAACGCUGGCGGCAGGCCUAACACAUGCAAGUCGAGCGCCCAGCAAUGGGAGCGGCAGACGGGAUAGUAACACGUGGGAACGUACCCUUCAGUUCGGAACAACCCAGGGAAACUUGGGCUAAUACCGAAUACGUCCGUAAGGAGAAAGAUUUAUCGCUGAAGGAUCGGCCCGCGUCUGAUUAGCUAGUUGGUGAGGUAAUGGCUCACCAAGGCGACGAUCAGUAGCGGUCUGAGAGGAUGAUCAGCAUCACUGGGACUGAGACACGGCCCAGACUCCUACGGGAGGCAGCAGUGGGGAAUAUUGGACAAUGGGCGCAAGCCUGAUCCAGCCAUGCCGCGUGGAUGAUGAAGGCCCUAGGGUUGUAAAGUCCUUUCGACGGGGAAGGAUAAUGACGGUACCCGUAGAAGAACGCCCCGGCUAACUUCGUGCCAGC